rnacentral:piRNA from 1 species
UAAACAUAACCAGGAGCUCUUACUCCAUCUC